GUGUCAGCAGCCGCGGUAGCACGUAGGGGGCGAGCGUUGUUCGGAAUUACUGGGCGUAAAGGGCAUGUAGGCGGUCUGGUAAGCCUGGCGUGAAAGUCUGCAGCUUAACUGCAGGGGUGCGCUGGGAACUGCUGGGCUUGAGUGACGGAGAGGGAGCUGGAAUUCCUGGUGUAGGGGUGAAAUCUGUAGAUAUCAGGAAGAACACCGAUGGCGAAGGCAAGCUCCUGGCCGAUGACUGACGCUGAGGUGCGAAAGUGUGGGGAUCAAACAGGAUUAGAUACCCUGGUAGUCCACACGGUAAACGAUGUGCACUAGGUGCUGGGGCGGUAGCCUCAGUGCCGGAGCGAACGUGGUAAGUGCACCGCCUGGGGAGUAUGCUCGCAAGGGUGAAACUCAAAGGAAUUGACGG
rnacentral:rRNA from 1 species